GAGCGAACGCUGGCGGCAGGCCUAACCCAUGCAAGUCGAACGAACCUUUCGGGGUUAGUGGCGGACGGGUGAGUAACACGUGGGAACGUGCCUUUAGGUUCGGAAUAACUCAGGGAAACUUGUGCUAAUACCGAAUGUGCCCUUCGGGGGAAAGAUUUAUCGCCUUUAGAGCGGCCCGCGUCUGAUUAGCUAGUUGGUUGAGGUAAUGGCUCACCAAGGCGACGAUCAGUAGCUGGUCUGAGAGGAUGAUCAGCCACAUUGGGACUGAGACACGGCCCAAACUCCUACGGGAGGCAGCAGUGGGGAAUCUUGCGCAAUGGGCGAAAGCCUGACGCAGCCAUGCCGCGUGAAUGAUGAAGGUCUUAGGAUUGUAAAAUUCUUUCACCGGGGACGAUAAUGACGGUACCCGGAGAAGAAGCCCCGGCUAACUUCGUG
rnacentral:rRNA from 1 species